ACUUCUUAGUGGCGAACGGGUGAGUAACGCGUGGGCACCUGCCCUCUAGAUGGGGACAACAUUCCGAAAGGGGUGCUAAUACCGAAUGUGCUCGCAUGAGGAAAGAUGGCCUUUUUAAAGCUAUCGCUAGAGGAUGGGCCUGCGUCUGAUUAGCUAGUUGGUGGGGUAACGGCCUACCAAGGCGAUGAUCAGUAGCCGGUCUGAGAGGAUGAACGGCCACAUUGGGACUGAGACACGGCCCAGACUCCUACGGGAGGCAGCAGUGGGGAAUCUUCCGCAAUGGGCGAAAGCCUGACGGAGCAAUGCCGCGUGAGUGAUGAAGGAAUUCGUUCCGUAAAGCUCUUUUGUUUAUGACGAAGUGCAGGUUGUGAAUAAUGACUUGUAAUGACGGUAGUAAACGAAUAAGCCACGGCUAACUACGUGCCAGCAGCCGCGGUAAUACGUAGGUGGCGAGCGUUGUCCGGAAUUAUUGGGCGUAAAGAGCAUGUAGGCGGUUUUUUAAGUCUGGAGUGAAAAUGCGGGGCUCAACCCCGUAUGGCUCUGGAUACUGGAAGACUUGAGUGCAGGAGAGGAAAGGGGAAUUCCCAGUGUAGCGGUGAAAUGCGU
rnacentral:rRNA from 1 species